CCUACGGGAGGCUGCAGUCGAGAAUCAUUCACAAUGUGGGAAACCCUGAUGGUGCGACGCCGCGUGGGGGAAUGAAGGUCUUCGGAUUGUAAACCCCUGGCAUGUGGGAGCAAAUUAAAAAGAUAGUACCACAAGAGGAAGAGACGGCUAACUCUGGGCCAGCAGCCGCGGUAAUCCAGAGGUCUCAAUCGUUGUUCGGAAUCACUGGGCGUAAAGCGUGCGUAGGCUGUUUCGUAAGUCGUGUGUGAAAGGCGCGGGCUCAACCACCGGCCGGCACAUGAUACUGCGAGACUAGAGUAAUGGAGGGGGAACCGGAAUUCGCGGUGUAGCAGUGAAAUGCGUAGAUAUCGAGAGGAACACUCGUGGCGAAGGCGGGUUCCUGGACAUUAACUGACGCUGAGGCACGAAGGCCAGGGGAGCGAAAGGGAUUAGAUACCCGGGUAGUC
rnacentral:rRNA from 1 species